rnacentral:lncRNA from 1 species
GCAAAGCUUCGUUAUGACACCACAGCACUCAGAGGUAUAUAUGCACUUACCCAACUGACACACACACACGCACACACACACACACCCCGACACACGGACACAUGGAUUAAUCUGCAAAGUUCCAGGAUCCAGACGCGGUUAACACUGAAGUUGACAGGUUUUUAAAGGGUCUACAUGCUCUUGCCUGGUUGCUGGGAAUGAGGGCUGGGAGGCGCUGAUGCGAGGGCAGAGCUGAGUGUCUGUAGGAGUUGCUGUUCCAGAGAAUUCAUUACUCUAAUUGCUCUGAUUUUAGAUCAGUAGAGCGUGCCGGGCGGUGGUGGAGACAGAGAUUGAGGGCGGACAAAGCGAGAGGGAACGAGUCGUUCACCCUUCAGAGAAGUCCAGGCGCUUUGACAUGUACUCUGGAUGUCAGCUGAGUUACUGAGGUAGCUCUGCAUGUCCGUAGACAGACCUUGGUAGAACCUCGAGAGGCUCCUGGAAACCCCCACUCUCUCCUUAUUCUUUUUUGUAUGUGUCCUCACUGAACAUUCAAAACUGUUUCUCCAAAGGGUUUUGCAAAAACUCAGACUGUUUUCCAAAGCAGAAGCAC